rnacentral:rRNA from 1 species
AUGGUGAGCGAGAAUGAUCAACAAGACCUGGAGUUCCUGUGGAAGUGGCGCAGGUACCUGCUGCUGCUCGCCACGCUGGUCGCCAGCGUCACCUACGGCGCCGGCCUCAACCCGCCCGGCGCCGUCUGGUCGCAGGACCAGGUGCCAGGCAGCAACAGUGCUCGAGAGCACCGCGCCGGUGCUGUCCACCGUCCGACGCCGUUGGCUCCGGCGCCCGCCGCGGUCUACCCUUUCCGCGUCGGCGACCCGGUGCUGGUGUCCACCUACUCGCAUCGGUACACCGUCUUCUUCUACUGCAACGCUACCGCCUUCGUUGCGUCCCUGGUCAUCAUCAUGUUCCUGCUGGAUCGGCGCAUCAGCAACAACCCCGUCGGCCUCGCCGUGCUCCGCCUCGCCAUGCUGCUCGACCUGCUUGCCCUCAUGGCCGCGUUCGCUGCUGGGAGCUGCCGCAACGUGGUCGCGUCCAUCUAUGUCUCGGCGCUCUUCGCCGUCGUCUUCGUCUACGUCGCCAUCCACCAUCAUGUGCCCUUGAGGGGGAAAGCGCCGGACGCGCCCACGAACACGGAGGAGAAGAGGCGCCUCAAGGAGCGGCGCAAGUUCCUCUUCCUGCUUGCCACCUUCGCGACGCCAUUGACGUACGCCGCGGGGCUGGCGCCCCCGGGAGGCUUCUGGAGCGAGACCAUGGCUGGGCACCGCGCCGGCGCCCCACUGCUGCACGACGGGCGCUACAAGAUCCGCUACCACGCCUUCUUCUACGCCAAUGCAAAUUCCUUCGUCGCCUCCCUCGCCAUCAUCAUGUGGCUCAUGAUCAACACGUUGAGGGACCGCCUCGGCCACUCCGAACCGCUUCUUGUGUGCGUUCUGGUGGAGCUGGUCGGCCUCAUGGCCGCCUACGCCGCCGGAAGCUGCAGGUGGAUUACCACCACCGUGUACAUCGUAUCCCUCAUCGGCGCCGUGCUCCUCUACAUUGUGCUGCACGCCGCGGUCGUUCAAGGGUUGUUCAACUUCAAUAUAUGUGGGGAAGCCAUCCUUCAAAAACUUAAGAGCAUCGAAACAACAAUCACCGUUGAUGAUGGGCAGGAAGACAAGCUGGAGCAGUCGCGGUCGCUUGUUCUGCUGUUAGCCACGCUGGCGACGACAGUGACCUACCAGGCAGGGCUGAACCCGCCCGGCGGCGUCUGGCCGGAAGGGCAACCGAACCACACCGCGGGGAACCCGGUUCUCCACGACAUGCACCCCAAGAGGUACAUGGCGUUUUAUCACUGCAACACGGCGGCGUUCGUGGCGUCGGUGGUCGUCAUCAUCAUCGUCGAGAGCAAAAGGUUGAGCACCGUUUGGGGUGCCAUGCUACUCAAGACUGCCAUGGUACUGGACCUGUUCGGCCUCACGGGCGCCUAUGUCGCCGGGAGCUGCCGGGACACCACCACCACCAUCUAUGUGUCUGCCCUGGCCGUCGCCGUCUUCGUCUACUCCAUCGCCAAGGUCAUCGCCUUCAAGGCUGGAGGCAAGCUGAGCUUGGCGAUGCGGUGCAUGCAAAGCAUCGGCAAUAAGCUUCUAUCGUGCAUGCCAUCCUCGCCCUCGUCUGAUGAGUUAGAAAUAUUAGAGCUCGAGAGGACGCGUAAGUUUUUGCUGCAGCUCGCCAUUCUCGCUGCCACCGUCACGUACCAGACCGGACUGAACCCGCCCGGCGGGUUCUGGCAAGAGACAGAGAGCAAGGGCGAAAGGUCGCUGACCGCCGGCGACCCGGUUCUCCUCGACCACUACGGGGUCAGGUACCAAGUGUUCUUCUACUGCAAUGCAACGGGGUUCAUGGCGUCCGUCGCCGUCAUUCUCCUCCUGGUGCACCCGACAUUGUCAAAGGAGGGCAUUCGGAGCAUGGCGCUCCAGGUCUGCGUCAUUGUCGGGCUUCUGGGCCUGAUGGGUGCCUAUGCCACAGGCAGCUGCCGGAAGCUGCGCACCUCCAUCUAUGUAUUUGCGCUCGUUGCUGCGGUGGUCGCCUUCCUCGUCCUAGAGAUCCUGUUAUAUUUGUACGCCAGACGUCGCCAUUUCUGGUUUCCACAGUGCCUGCAGAAGCUGCAGCUGCUCAAGCCGCUUUCGUCGGCGCCGGACGGCCGGAACAAAGGCAAGGGGCCAACGUACCCCAUGCGCAAGUCCCUGAUGCUGCUCGGCAUCCUCGCGGCGAGCGUGACAUACCAGGCAGGUCUCGCGCCUCCAGGCGGCACGUGGGGCGACGAUGAUACCGCGUCCUACCCUUCGUUAUUGCUUGCGCCAUCGCCACCCGCUUCAUACCUCUCCCACGCCGGCAACCCGAUCCUACUCGACACUUACCCAAAACGGUACCAGGCCUUCUUCUACUGCAACGCGACAUCCUUCGUAGCCUCCAUCGUGGUCAUAAUGCUGGCGCUGCAUGGCACCGUGAAGAAGGGCGGCACGCCGUUCUGGGUGAUACAUGGUAUGCGGGCCGCCAUGGUGCUGGACUUGCUCGGCCUGCUGGGCGCCUAUGCCGCCGGCAGCUGCAGAGACUCGGAGACAUCCGCGUACGUCAUCACGCUCGUGACUGCAGUGGUCGUCUUCAUCACGAUCUACGUCAUGUUGUCGAUUGGACGCCGCGCUGAUGAUGAUCUGUCAGAUGAAAUAAUACCGGUCACCAGUUUGUUGUAA